rnacentral:rRNA from 1 species
UCAGCAGUCAAGAAUAUUAGUCAAUGGCCUAACGGCUGAACUGGCAACUUGGAAGAAGUGGCAAGUUCUUCCAGUAUGGGGAGCAAAACAGCUAUGGGUCAAGUCCGAUAUCUUUAGGAGAAGUCUUAUUGUGAGGGCGAGUUAUAUAACACCAUAGGACUGGCCGUCCCAUAUGAAAAGAUUAUAUUAGAAUUGAAUGAAGCUUUGUUUAUAUAUUGAUAAUGACAGUAUAUAUAUCGUGUCUUGACUAAUUGCGUGCCAGCAGUCGCGGUAAUACGUAAGAGACUAGUGUUAUUCAUCUUAAUUAGGUUUAAAGGGUACCCAGACGGUCAAUAUAGCUUAUAAAAUGUUAGUACUUGACUAGAGUUUUAUGUAAGAGGGCAGUACUUGAGGAGGAGAGAUGAAAUUUCGUGAUACCAAAGGGACUCUGUAAAGGCGAAGGCAGCCCUCUAUGUAAAAACUGACGUUGAAGGACGAAGGCACAGAGAACAAACAGGAUUAGAUACCCAAGUAGUCUUUGCAGUAAAUGAUGAAUGCCAUAGGUUAGAUUGGUCAAUUAUAGUCUAGGGUUAGUCUAGCAAACUAAUACCCUAUGCUAUAAUCCUAAUAUCUGGUCUAUAAAUGAAAGUGUAAGCAUUUCACCUUCAAGAGUAAUGUGGCAACGCCAGGAACUGAAAUCACUAGACCGUUUCUGACACCAGUAGUGAAGUAUGUUAUUUAUUCC